rnacentral:rRNA from 1 species
GGAUGCUAUCAUACCAGCACUAAAGCACCGGAUCCCAUCAGAACUCCGAAGUUAAGCGUGCUUAGGCGAGAGUAGUACUAGGAUGGGUGACCUCCUGGGAAGUCCUCGUGUUGCAUUCC